rnacentral:rRNA from 1 species
UACGUAGGGUGCAAGCGUUGUCCGGAAUUAUUGGGCGUAAAGAGCUCGUAGGCGGUUUGUUGCGUCGGCUGUGAAAUCCCGAGGCUCAACCUCGGGUCUGCAGUCGAUACGAGCAAACUAGAGUGUUGCAGGGGAGACUGGAAAUUCCUGGUGUAGCGGUGAAAUGCGCAGAUAUCAGGAGGAACACCGGUGGCGAAGGCGGGUCUCUGGGCCGAUACUGACGCUGAGGAGCGAAAGCGUGGGGGAGCGAACAG